ensembl:misc_RNA Y_RNA Y RNA
GGCUGGUCCAAAGGUAGUGACUUAUCUCAAUUGAUUGUUCACAGUCAGUACAGAUUGAACUCCUUGUUCUACUCUUCCCCCCCUUCUCUCUACUGCACUUGACUCAUCUAAA